CAGGCAAGAAUACUGGAGUGGGUUGCCGCGCCCUCCUUCAGGGGAUCUUCCCAACCCAGGGAUCGAGCCCACAUCUCUUAUAUCUCCUACAUUGGCAGGCGGGUUAUUUACCACUAAGGCCACCUGGGAAGCAUGUUUUAAAAGGAGGAAUGAAGAGACAUCUACAGUCCAGGGGUAUCUUUACCAUCAGUGAGCUUGGUUAGAAACUCAGCAGAUUAGUUUAUAACUACGGAAAAACCAUUGAGGUUUUCAAUAUUUAUCAGUUUUAUCCUGAAUGUGAACAUGAGGUAUUCUGGAUCAGUGUUCAUGUAAGAAAUACACUGCCCCACCCCUCUAGGGUAUUGCAGUAAUGGCCAGGUCAAGUGUCUCACCCAAGUAGCUGGACACUCUGUAAGGGAGUGAUGACAAACAGUGGUUUUUCUCUUUUGCUUAUAAAAAGGAAGGGAAGUACCUGUCCGCCUCCCUUCCUGAAAUAGUCUCCUUAGAAAUAUAUCUGAGUCCUUGCUCCUUAUGUGACUAAAAUAACUCCAGGAGCCACAUAAUCCCAUUUAUGAGCUGGAGACGUCUCCAAGGUCUGGACUGCAAGCCAGAGGAGAUAGCACUGCCACUGGUCAUCCCAGCACCCUGGGGCUCAACCUAGGGACCUAGUCUGUGUUGAAACAAUUCAGCUCUCUCAGGGACAUAAGAGAAAUUGUAUUAUCAGCUCAGAUCAAAUCAAUUACCCAGACAAGUGGAUCCAGAUUUAAUUCUCAUGGUCUGUGAAGAGUGCCUGGAGGCUUGGACUUUUUUGCAGGGCACCACAAAAGCUAGGGAACCUUUAUCUCCCUGUAAACACCCACCAUGUUCUAACCCAAGGAGUGCCUAGAAAUUUCUGAUGUUCAAAAAAUUAAUUUUGUUCAGUAAACUUUUGAAUUUAUACUUUGUGAAAAGGUAAGAUAUAGUUCCUAAUUUGCAAUGGUUCAUGCAGUCAAGUUAUUACAGGCCUAGAAACUACUGCUUACACAGUUUCAGAGCAGAUACAUCAAUAUCGCAUACAGGUAGGCUAACUGUCAAAUAGCAAGAAAAGANNNNNNNNNNNNNNNNNNNNNNNNNNNNNNNNNNNNNNNNNNNNUGCCUCACUGUCACUGCACACAGAGGUCCUGAAGACCUGUAGUAUUAAUAGAAACUUAUCUAUCCCGACCCCUCUGCAGUUCACAAAAUGCAACACCCAUAAAACAGCUCAUUCAUCUCCAUAAAAAUCAGUCAGAAGAGUGAUUAGUAUAGCCCAGAAGAAGUGAAGUUUCUUGCCCAAAGUGAUGAAUAAAAAAUGGACAUCAAAUUCUGAUUCAGAUCUUUGAUUACAAAACCUGAAUCCUUUUCACAAAGUGAAUUCUAUGUAAUUCUAUGUAAGUAAUCA
rnacentral:lncRNA from 1 species